rnacentral:lncRNA from 1 species
AACUCAUUUUUUCAUGCCCCCACCAGAUGAGGAAGAUAGUGAGGAACCAUCCGCUACCUACCUCUUGAAGUCUAUGAGGAUCCCAUAGAUCCACAAACCUUGAGUGCAUGACUAUUCUCGCACUCUGAUGAGUCCAAUAGCAUAAUGAUAGAAGUGACCCUUUUCAUCUUAUAUUUUGUAUUUUGAUGCCACUUCUAGCCUCUAUUAUAUAUGUAU